rnacentral:tRNA from 1 species
CGUAGCUCAGCUGGAUAGAGUACUCGGCUACGAACCGAGCGGUCGGAGGUCGAAUCCUCCCG